GUGGCCCUGCCAGGCAGGGGGGUUGGAACUACACGAUCCUUGAGGUCCCUUCCAACCCGGGUCAUUCUGUGAGAGGCCAUCACCUCUCAUCCUAUCAGUGUUAUUUAGGAGCAGAUGCUGACCUGUAGGAAGCAAUAAGGUCUCCCCUGAGGUCUGCUCUGGACUGACCCAUCCCAGCUCCCUCAGUUGCUCCCCAUAGCACUUGUGCCCCAGACACUCCCCAGGGUCAUUAAGGUUGGGAAAGACCUCUCAAAUCAGCUCUGAGGAACCAAAACCUUUGGCAGUAGCAUCAGAUGGGCACCAAAACCAAGGAAGGCAGUUUGUGGAGCGACUGCUUCCUGCUGUCUUCCAUUUCCACAGCAAGCUGCUGCAAGUGGAACAGCCUCCCUUGCUCCGUGAACUGCUUUAUCGCAUCCCGGCUGUAUCUCGUUACAUUAUUCAUCGUCUCUGUGGAGCUGUGAAAUCCCCAAACACCUCCUGUGUCACGAGGGUCGUGUACGUGAACAAAAGCACCGAAACAAGUGAGAAAGCAGCAAAGAAACAAUGCAAAGGAGAGCGGUGACCUGCAGUCAUACACCCAGAACAAAUGUGCUGCAGAACUCUGCAAGGCAACCAAGGUAAAUACGCAGUUCCUCGUGACGCCGGACAAGUUAAUGACACAGCUGUUUGCAGGAAGGAGCUUGCAACGUUGCGCCGAGCAGAAGAAAUACGGCCUGUUAUGUAGAGCUUCAACUUCUUCAUUCAAUUUUUGGAAUGCCAGCUUCAUUUGUGGUUUUGGCGCUGCCCUUACAAAUAAAUCAGGCAGCAUUUUACCAACAUCCGCCUGCGAGGAGGUGAGAGGCUUUUGGAAGUCCUUUUGAGAUGGCUGGGGUAGCCUUGCUGAUGGGAAAAUUGGCCAAGAGGCCACCAAGGCUGGCAUUGGGUUUUCCAUUGACUUCUUAGAAAGCAUGUUUUUGUUCUGCAACAACAACAAACAAACAAACAACCCACCAACAUUCUGCAGGGUUUGUCCUGCUAAAAAGGCAGAGAAAAUACUAUCAGAAAAGGCUGGUGCACUCCCACUACUGACACAGCAUCUCCUCACUGCAAAGAGCACGUCGACAUUGCAUCAUCUAAAAGGUAAAAAUUAAAUAGGCCAAAAACGAGAUGAUAAUGUACAGAUUGGAAAGCCAACAGUGCACAACUGGAAAUGUCCCUCCAUUGAAUAGCUCCUUGCCAAAAGGUCUUGGACAACCAUUGGAACCAUCUUCGUGGCACCCAAUAGAGGUUGGAGGGCUUGGGCCAUUGGGAUUUUGUGUGUCCGUGGAACUUGAUGGGAUUUUCUUUAUGUUUUGCUCAGUGAGAAAGGGAAGGGAUCAUCCUCAUGGGGCUGUUUCACUGCAAAGGGAGGGAGGAUAGGUUCCUCAAGGGAAUUUGGGCAAGUUUUGUGUUGGGAAAGCAGGGCUGAGAUGUGGCAAUAGGACCCCUUGGAGCUGGGAAUAGGGGUUGAGAGAACUAGGAAGCCGUCAAACUCACCACUGUCUGCAUCCUCACUAAUGGAAAUGAAAAGAACGCUUAAAUAUAAUUAUACUUCAUGCAAGACUUAAAGAAAAAAGCAACAGGAUUGCCGAUUUCAGUCUGUAUUUGCAUAGUGCUGUGAGAUCCUGGCAGAGCAGUGUGAAAGCAGUGAGAAAACACGUGCCUUUGCAGCAUUGCUUCUUAGCUUACAACACCCAGGGAAGAAACUUCCCUCUGUACCACGGCUUCUCUCUGACACCUCUCACCUUCCUUCUGUUGGAUUCUUCUCUUUUUCAACUUAACCUCCCUAUUCCCACAGAAGCUUUGUUUCUCAUCUUUGUACUUGAUCUCCUACAUCAGAGAGUCGCUGCUUCUUCAGCCGUGCAGCGUUUGCCCUGCCCAUGCAGAUGACAAAUUAAUCUAACAUUUCACGUCCCAGAAAUACUUACUAUUUCUUCCCUACCUUUUGUUCUUGCCAUUGCAGUACUGCUCAAAUGGGGAGCCUUGCCUCCCUGGGGGAGCUCCGCUUUCUUCCCAGGGAGACCACAGCGAGUCCAAGGGCAGUGAAAAAUGGAAUAUUAUUUUCUUGCUGGCUUAGUGAUUUUCAUUUAGGAUUCAGCAAAUGCAGAGCCAUCUGCUAUGUAUGAAAUAUCCAAUAAUAGUUCUCCAGUUGCUGAAUUCAAAGUGGAAACAGGCCAGCAGCGUGCCUGGCUUGCAUCAGAGCUCCUCGGUGAGUGCACGCAGCCAAGAUGCACCCAUGGCUUUGCCACCUGAAUGUAGAAGUGCUGCCAGAAUCAUGGCGACUUGGAGGUGGGACUAGAGGUCAGAGGGGUGGGGCUUUAUGUUUUCCCUCUGUUAGUGAUCCUGAUUGUUGUUGUUCUUCAUUUAGUGUGUGCAUGGUGACAUGGUACUCACAAGCCAUAGUAUCAAUGUGUUUGCAUGCAGAAGUGCUGGUUCUCUCCCUGGAAACUACAGGACCUUCAUCAUCAACUGAAUGGUCUUCACAGUCCCCUCCACCCCAAACCAUGACUGGAUCCUGUGAUUCUAUCAACUCACAGAUCAUCUGUGUUUGGGACCAUCUCUUUUGGGCCAUUUAUGCUUGGGACCACCUAUGUUUGGGUCUAUUUAUGAUUGGGACCAUCUCUUUGGAACCAUCCAUGUUUUAGAUCAUCUAUGGCUGGGAUAAUCUCUUUGGGACCAUCUGUUUGGUAUCGUCUAUGACUGGGACCAUCUCUGUGGAACUAUCUCCUUGGCUCUGGCUCUACGGCUGACACUUGGAUCAUCUAUGUUUGGGACCUUCUAUGAUUGGGGACCAUCUAGGCAGACCUCACCCACACUGAGGAUUUUAGCAUUAACACAGCCUCUCCAACAUAGUUACACCUAUGUAAAUAUCAUAUUAAUACAGAAUUGGUGCAAAUUAUGGCUCAUGGAGUGUACACUUUUUGUAUGGAGAAACUUUAGGGUAUAAAAAAUAGGCUGGGGACUGCAUGACAAAAGGAAGGAGCCAAGGACUGUCAUGAAACCCAUCCUCAUCCCAUGUUUUCACACUGCUCCCUGAAGUCUUAGGAUAAAAAGCACAGUGCACUGUUAUGCACAAAUCUUUAUGCCACUGCAAGUUCCCUCUGGUCUCCUUCACCCCGGUAUGGCCACUCAGAGCAGAGUGCCCAGCACCACGGCCAGGGGCUUUGGGAGAUCCCUAUUUCCACUGCGAUCGGUGGGAGUUCAGUUCACAACAAGAAGCAGGAGCUUGAUUUCCAUUGUUCAUCUCCUGGCUCCUCACCACAGUAUCAACCAGCCCUGGGAACAGUGGCUCGGUAACCCGGGCAGCUUCUCAGAUGAUGCAAAGCAAUGCUGAGCCCUGCAGACCCUGAUCUGCCCAGCCUGAGGGUUGGCCCUCAUGACCCAGUGUUGAAAUGAGGAUAACUUUAUUUACCUUAAUCAUAAGGAUGUGGAAAGGGCAGAUGUUUUCGAGCCUCGCAUAGUGGAAAAAAUUGUAAUGUGUCACUAUCAAUGAAUCCCCCUCAAAAUACAGGCGCUCCUAGCAGCAAAUCUAAAAUGAGAAUUAAAUGUGAAAAGACACCACUCCCACUAUUAAUUUCUUCGCUGCGUUGUUCCCUUUCCUCUUUUAUUCCUCCUCAUUUUCAGACCCUUGCCAACAGAUCCUUGGCAGCUCUCAUAAAAGCAAUUAUCAUUUUUAGCGAGGGUUUUGCAGUAUUUUGUCUUGAUUCUGGAACUGCUCUCCCUCUGUGCCAUCCUCCCUCCUGCCCCAGCUCUGCCAUGGAUCCGCACUGCUCACAAAUUCAUCCUGACAAAUCCCAGAACCCUGGACCUCCAGGGUGCUUGGGGCUGGAGGUGCCUCGGAUCCCUCUGGUCCACCCCCUGCCACAUCAGGGUGCCCAGCAUCAUGGCCAGAGGGUUUGGGGGAUCCUCAAGGAAGAGACAUUUCUCAUUGGCUUGCUCCCUGGGAUAAAUGGUUCUGCACAUCUCUGUCGCUCAGCUGUCACACAGCUGGAUGGGGCUGGAUGUGUGUGGCUGUCACGGCAGCACUUGCCCAGAUGUUGGCACCUGACAGAUGGAACAGAUGGAUGGGAGACAUCAGUGCAAGGUCCCAGCCCAGUGUGCUCACUCACGAGAUGCAGCCCUCUCCGCUGCAAGUAGAGUCAUUGAGUUAUCUAGGUUAGAAAAGACCUUCAAAACCAUCGAGUUCAACAGCUGACCUGACCCACCAAGUCCCAUCAUUAAUCCAUGUUCCUUAGUGCCGUACCCACACAUCUCCUAGAUAUCUCCAAAGAUCAUAGAAUCAUAAAAUCAUAGAACCAUGGAAUCAGAGAAUGGAUGGGAUGGAAAGGACCUUAAAGCCCCCCAGUCCCAAAUACUGCUAUGGGCUGAUUGCCCUCAACCACAUCAGGCUGCCCAGGACCCCAUCCAGCCUGGCCCUGAGUACCUCUAGGGAUUAGGCGCAACAGAGACGGGGACCUCACCUCUUCUCUGGACAGUCUUUUCCAAUGAGCACCUUCACUAUGAAGACAUUCUCCCUAAUAGCCAGUCUACACCUACCCUGGCACAAUUUGAGACCAUCAGCUCACUGAAUGCACACAACUCCAAUCUUUUCUGCAUUCGCCCUGUAUCUCAUUGUGUUUGAGGGUCUCAGCAGGCAUCACUGUUGCUGCUAGGCAAAAAUCCCCUCCCUAUAAUCAUUUUUUAUUCACAAAAAGGCCUGGAAAUAGGGAUUUCACAGUGAAAAGUUAAAAACCCUUGGGAUUCCCUUCUUCUCCAGGAGGUUGUGGAGCCGGGUGGGACUCCAGCUCCGGCGCCGC